rnacentral:rRNA from 1 species
AGUGAACGCUGGCGGUAGGCCUAACACAUGCAAGUCGAACGGCAGCUCAGUAAGAGCUUGCUCUUACGGGUGGCGAGUGGCGGACGGGUGAGGAAUACAUCGGAAUCUACUUUUUCGUGGGGGAUAACGUAGGGAAACUUACGCUAAUACCGCAUACGACCUACGGGUGAAAGCAGGGGAUCUUCGGACCUUGCGCGAUUGAAUGAGCCGAUGUCGGAUUAGCUAGUUGGCGGGGUAAAGGCCCACCAAGGCGACGAUCCGUAGCUGGUCUGAGAGGAUGAUCAGCCACACUGGAACUGAGACACGGUCCAGACUCCUACGGGAGGCAGCAGUGGGGAAUAUUGGACAAUGGGCGCAAGCCUGAUCCAGCCAUACCGCGUGGGUGAAGAAGGCCUUCGGGUUGUAAAGCCCUUUUGUUGGGAAAGAAAAGCAGCAGGUUAAUACCCCGCUGUUCUGACGGUACCCAAAGAAUAAGCACCGGCUAACUUCGU